AGCAGCCGCGGUAAUUCCAGCUCCAAUAGCGUAUAUUAAAGUUGUUGCAGUUAAAAAGCUCGUAGUUGAAUUUCGGGAUCAAUAUAUUGGUCGUGCCUCCGGUAUGCACUGGUAUUAUUGAUUUCUACCUUCUGACGAACUAUGAUGUCAUUAAUUUGGUGUCAUGGGGAAUCAGGACUGUUACUUUGAAAAAUUGAGUGUUUAAAGCAGGCACACGCUUGAAUACAUUAGCAUGGAAUAAUGAAAUAGGACGUUUGACCCUAUUUUGUUGGUUUCUAGGAUCGACGUAAUGAUUAAUAGGGAUAGUUGGGGCAUUAGUAUUCAAUUGUCAGAGGUGAAAUUCUU
rnacentral:rRNA from 1 species